UCGGAGAGGGCGCCUGAGAAACGGCUACCACAUCUACGGAUGGCAGCAGGCGCGCAAAUUACCCAAUGCAGACACUGUGAGGUAGUGACGAGAAAUAAUAAAGCGGGACUUCUGUUUCGCUAUUAUAAUGAGGAAUAACCAAAGGUCAUUCCGAUUAGCAACUGAUGGGAAAGUCUGGUGCCAGCAGCCGCGGUAAUACCAGCGUCAGUAGCAUAUAUUAAAAUUGUUGCAGUUAAAACGUCCGUAGUCUGUACGUCGUCCCAAACUCACUGCAGUCUUCCGUUUUCUUAAUUGAAUGCGGUAGUUUCUGCAGUCACUCCCUUGAUCAAAUUAGGUUGUUCAAGGUAGACCAAGUCUUCAUAUUUUCACAUGGAAUUGGGCGAGGGAACUUAAGAGUUUAAGUUUCUCGUCUUAGGAUCAUCCGGGGUCAUUCGUACUCGUCCGCGAGAGGUGAAAUUCUUGGACCGGACGAAGACGACCAGCAGCGAAAGCAUCUGUCAGGGAUGUUUUCUGCGACAAAGGACGAAGGUCAGGGUAUCGAAGACGAUUAGAUACCGUCGUAGUCCUGACUGUAAACUAUGCCAACUUGGGUCUUGCUGGGCGAUGCUUUGUGAGACCCACACAGAAAUGAAAGUGUAUGGGUUCUGGGGGGUAGUAUGGACACAAGUCUGAAACUUGAAGGAAUUGACGGAAGAGCACCAUAAGACGUGGAGCUUGCGGCUUAAUUUGACUCAACGCGGGAAAACUUACCAGGUCAAGACAUGGGCGUGAUUGACAGGCUAAUGACUUUUCUCGAUUCCAUGGAUGGUGGUGCAUGGUCGCACUUAGUUGGUGCAGUGAUUUGUCAGGUUUAUUCCGGUAACGAACGAGACCUCGGCCUUGUAAAUAGCUAUGCUGCUUACAGGGACAUUGGCGGCUACGCCAAGGAAGCUCGAGGCAAUUGCAGAUCUGGAAUGCCCUUAGAUGUCCUGGGUCGCACGCGUGCUACAAUGACGCCACGAACGAGCUUGCAUGAUGAAAGUUAUGCAUAAUCAGCAGUCGGCGUCUUAAGGGAUAGUCUCUUGUAACUGUGGGACUCCAACUAGGAAUGUCUCGUAAGCACAAGUCAACAUCUUGUGUUGAUUACGUCCCUGCUCUUUGUACACACCGCCCGUCGCUCCUACCGAUCGAGUGUUUAGGUGAAUUUGAUGGACGUAAGGAAGUCAAAUAAACCUGAGCACUUAGAGGAAGGAGAAGUCGUAACAAGGUAGCCGU
rnacentral:rRNA from 1 species